UUGACGAAGUAAAUGCGAACGAUUAUCUUAACAACCGUGGCGCUUGCCAGGCGCCACACGCCAUAGCAGAGAAUGUCAGGUUUUCUGCCAUGGUUUCUCCUCAUCAAGCUAGUCACGGUCUUUCGCCGCUCCUCCCGGAGCGGCUUUUUCUU
rnacentral:sRNA from 1 species